UCUUUUGGCUGCUAAGCCAGGAAUUAAAACAAAAAGAAUUUUAAAUACUAAGAAGAAGAUGUUAUAUAUCAGACAAGGCUCACUGAUCGAGCAAUUAAUGGAAUGAAGGUCUGUGCACACAAUUGCUUACCAACACAAUGGAGUCUGCAUCCUUUUCUGUUGGCUGCAGAAGUCAGUGUACAGUGCAAUACAGUCGCACCACCACUCUCAUUCCCCACCGGACCAUCCACCACUGCCGCACCGCCUCCCUCCCUUCUUUGUCCUUAUUCUCAUUAUGGGUCCUUCUGUCUUUUUCUCUUACGCCUACCUCUCUCUUUCUCUCUCAGCGUCACCACUUCAUCCCUCGCGUUCCGUUAAAGACAAGCGAAGCUUGUACAUCUUUUCAUAUCCCCCAUUUUACCCCUACAUUUCUUCUAAUAUUACUCUAUGAGUCCUUUGGCUUCACCAUCAGGGUAAUGUAACUCGCAUAUGCGACUCCAUUCUUUUGUCUUCUCUUUGAGUAGCUCACAUGCUGAGUUGUGUGCACUUGAAGUUAUUAAUAUUAUUCUUUUUAAGCCUCGUAAGGAUGAAAACAGACUGGUGAUUAAUAGGCGGGCGACGACAUUGACCGGUGAACUGGAAUAGCCGGUGGAAGGAAAAAUAGGAUAGUGUAGGGUGUAAAGGGCACAGAAUCCAUCAGUUCAUGGAGAGAAGCUUAAGGUUUAGUCACGUCGAUAGAGCAAAUGGGUCAAUCAAAACAACUGUGUGCAGAUGUUCAAAAAGAGUAGCAUUUAUCGUACGGACGCUGACACGCGAAUAGCAGGUCUUAAGUCGUAAUAAGAGGGAGGGAGGUGAAACACUCUUUACAUCGUGACUCGCGCGCAGCUCAACACCGCGCUUCGAUACGCUAGAAGGUUGUAGAAAAGAAAGCGCCUUGCAUUUUAAACUGCCUGCCAGUUUUCCUUUUUUUCCACCUUUCGAAGUAAACGACAUGUCGUGAC
rnacentral:lncRNA from 1 species